CUGCCUGCGACGCAUUCCGGAAUUUACCGCUUACUUACUCCAUGUCAUCGCUCCCGCCAUGCGAAAAUCACACUCUCGAGUUCGCGUUCCAAAAUUUAGCUGUAGGGGCGUGUUGAAAACAAACAAACAAAGAAAAAAAAAUCACUCCAGCGCCGGGUUGAGACGUGCGAUCAAAGGCACAAACCUUCGUUGUGGUCCUGACGGCAGGACAGUUUAAUGCGUGGUGCGUGUGUGACUGUGCAGUGACAUUUAAACGGCUCCCUCAAAGGAAGCGCUGCUUGACGGUGCCUCUCUUUGUUUCUUUGCCGGAGUGAGGUGCGAACCAGCCCCCCGGUCACCCGUCUCCACGUGCGCGGUCUCGGUCGACCCACCACGGCCUAGCCCUCGCCCGUAGUGACCCCAUGUCGGGGAUUCGUCCACACAGUGCAGCGGUCAGUAGUGGUUCUCAGGAGGCCGUUCCUUCAACAGCCAGAUGGAGCCCUGCUGCUCUACCUUGAGGGUGAUUACGGAAACCCGGCGCCUCAACUGCCUCACCGCCUGGGAUUUUCAGAGGGUUUUUACAAGCUGUUUGUCUCGAGGAACGUGCGGCCGGGGCGAGGCCGUCUCAGAGAACAAGAGGCCCUCAGUGCCGGAGGCCCCGCUGUUCUGAACACUACACCCUCCUCUCGGCUCUCAGCUGCAUUCAUCUUUGAGCAUAUUCACCGGCGCAGCAGACGGUUGUCUAGGUCCGCGUGUUUUUUUUUUGUGGGGGGGGAUGUUGAGCGGUACCGUUUGAAGCAAGGGUAUCCAAGGGUCACAUGGGUAAAAAUCAUAGUAAGUGACAUACGGAAUCUGAAGUGUUCAAGGUGGAAAAACAUUACAUUCAGAAUUGUAUUUUGUUUAGGUACAGUGUGUGUCUUAUUGUAUCACCAUGUAAAAUUUGUUUAUGGUACAUACUGUAUACUAUAUAUUAGUAAUUUUGCAGUCGUUCUUGAGUCUGUAAAUUCCUCUUUUCCCCGUCUGUGUGCGUCGGCCAGUUCUCCUUCAUCUCUUCGAUCCGUCCGGCCCCUCCCUGGCACCUCGUCUCUGCUGAUCUCAUCUCCCUCCAUUUUGUCUGCACCCCCCAAACCCCCCCAAACCCCCACAACCCCCCACCACUGGCACACCGCUGAUUCAAACCCAUCCUCCACCGUGGCCAAAGAGGCCUCACCGGGCUCGGGGAAGUUAAAGAAUUGCGCUCUUUCAUCCGGCUCUUGUCACCAGGAGUUCUGCCGUGAUGGAACAUAAUUGGCAUCGUUUCACCGCGGGGAUGGAGUUCGAGGUGGGGGGGCACCGGGCUUCUUGGACGCCCUCCACAGUAACAACUAAAUUGAUUUGAAAAGCUGCAGAGGGGGGCAGAGUACCAACUACUCUGGAACCUGAAAUGUCCUGCUGUGGUGGCAUUGUGUGUGUGUGUGUGUGUGUGUGUGUGUGUGUGUGUGUGUGUCUCUCCCUCAGUUUUCAGUUUUAUGGUUUAUUGGCUUGACAAAUUUUGAUACAGAAAAGCCAUUGUUGAAAAACUCUAUGCACAAAUAUUGCUUUGUAAUAAUGAUGAUGAUAAUAACUAUAAUAUUAAUUGUGCCAGUGUGCCUUCAUUUCUAUGGGAUGUUGAAAAUAUCACCCAUGAACCCCAGUGCUAAAUUGUACUGGGUGGUAAAUCAGUGUAUUUGGCUUGGUGUACACCACCUCACACUAAGUCACAUUGGAGAAAAAUGUCACUUAAGUGCAUGAAUGUGUAAAAGUGUAAGAAUCUGCUGCCCACGUUUCAAGCCUCAGCACAGCAGCCCAGUUGUGCUGCAAGUCUUUCAAAUAAAAAUGGUCAUGACCACCGAAGAGGGUAGCUG
rnacentral:lncRNA from 1 species